UACGUAGGGUGCAAGCGUUUAAUCGGAAUUACUGGGCGUAAAGCGUGCGCAGGCGGUUUUGUAAGUCAGAUGUGAAAUCCCCGGGCUUAACCUGGGAACUGCGUUUGAAACUACAAGGCUAGAGUGUGGCAGAGGGGGGUGGAAUUCCACGUGUAGCAGUGAAAUGCGUAGAGAUGUGGAGGAACACCGGAUGGCGAAGGCAGCCCCCUGGGUUAACACUGACGCUCAGGCACGAAAGCGUGGGGAGCAAACAGG
rnacentral:rRNA from 1 species